ensembl:snoRNA SNORA73 Small nucleolar RNA SNORA73 family
CCAACGUGAAUAUCCUGGGAGGUCACUCUCCCUGGGCUCUGUCCAGGUGGUGUAGGGAAGCACAGGGUUUUGCCCCAUGGUGUACAGUCCCUUACCACAAUGUUGGAGACAAAGCUGGGCCUUGAGACUGCAUCUGCAUAUUCCUAGGACUUCCCAGAGUCCUUUGGAUGAUGACUGAGGAGAUAAGCCAAGCAGGAAACAAUC